GCAAACUAAGAUAUGUUUCUUUGUGCAUCACCAGAGAUAGAAGAUAAAAAUGGCACCAAAAAUAUCUUUUAGAAAGAAAAAUUCUAUCAAAUCGGUCAGGAUAACUUGCAGAUUUUGAAGGACUCGUUCAGUGAGACGGUUAUACCUGAUUUGAUCUCUGAUGAUGAUUCCAUCGAGUCCAUUGAUGCCUCCAUUAAUUCCAGGAUCAAACACCCAAGUCAAACCUCCACACCCUCGGAUAAGAGGACAAUCACCGGUUAUUAACCGAAAGAAACACCGGCAACGAGUGAAAGCACCGGAAACAAACCUUCUACAAAGAAGGACAUCACGAUUCCAUCGAAAUGACAUAAUAGCGGAGGAACUACAUUGUAAAAGAGAUGAUUUUGUCAUAUCUACUGAAAGCCUCUGGUAAAUUUGAUCCAAAACCAAACCAGAGAUGGAUCCCAUAGAGAUAUCGGACUCUUACGUAGAAAAGACACACUCAAUACUUUACACAACAUCAUCGCAUAGCAUAGAGCGUACUGUUGAUACUCAUGAUUUGCCGUUAUAUUCAUUCAAAACCUAAGAUUAAGAAGGGAAUUAGAGAUAUUCAAACAAUGGAAAAUAGAAAUGACGAUGGCCGACGCCGGAGAAGCCAA